rnacentral:rRNA from 1 species
GCUUUAUGAUAAUUAUUAAUAUAAAGUCUAACCUGCUCAAUGAUUUAGAUUUAAAUUAAAUAGCUGCAGUAAAUUGACUGUACGAAGGUAGCAUAAUAAUUUGUCUUUUAAUUGAAGACUGGAAUGAAUGGUUUGACGUGAAAAAUACUGUCUGCUGUUUUUUUAUUAAAACUUUAUUUUCCUAUAAAAAUAGUUGAAAUAGAAUUUUAUUAAGGGACGAAAAGACCCCAUCAAGUUUUAUAUAAAAAUUAUUUAAAUUCAUUUAUUUGUAACAUUUAUAUUUUUCUGGGGCGGAAUCAAUAGAAUAUCUUUUGUUAAAAUUAUAUAACCUGUUGUUUAUUUAAGGAUCUAUUAAAUUAAUAACUAAUUAAUUAAAUUACUGUGGGGGUAACAGAAUAAUUCUUUUGUAAAGUUCAUAUUAAUAAAAGAGAUUAUGACCUCGAUGUUGGAUUAAAAAUUUAACCAAAUGAUGAAGAAGUUUAUAUGGUAAGUCUGUUCGACUUAUAAAAAUUUACA